rnacentral:tRNA from 1 species
UCUAAUAUGGCAGAUUAGUGCAUUGGACUUAAAUCCCACCUAUGAAUAAAAAUUCUUUUAGAA